rnacentral:sRNA from 1 species
UCAACAAGUCUUUUGCCCUUGUAGGCAGAC